CGAUUGGGGAGUCUGGACCUCGAGGA
rnacentral:sRNA from 1 species